rnacentral:rRNA from 1 species
UACAUGGGUGCAAACGUUGCUCGGAAUUAUUGGGCGUAAAGCGCACGUAGGCGGUUCGUUAAGUCGGAUGUGAAAGCCCUCGGCUCAACUGAGGAAGUGCACCCGAAACUGGCGAGCUUGAGUACGAAAGAGGAUCGCGGAAUUCCCGGUGUAGAGGUGAAAUUCGUAGAUAUCGGGAGGAACACCGGCGGCGAAGGCGGCGAUCUGGGUCGAUACUGACGCUGAGGUGCGAAAGCGUGGGGAGCAAACAGG